ACAGGAAAUCCAACGUCAAUCGGUUCAGCUUCUAGACAUCGAAUAGACGUCGGAUCCCCUGAAACCCGACGUCUAAUGGGUAUUCAAAAAGUCAGUAUUAAUGUUAACUUGAACGUCAUAUUAGUUACAUACCCAACGUCUAUGUGACUAUAGACGUCGGGUUAUUGACCAACCGACACCCCAUUUCAUUUUAAAUAAACCGUAGACUCUUCGUGGCAUUCAGUUUCUGAUAUCGUGUCUUCAUCUUCUCCUUUUUCUCUCGCGGCCUCUUCUUUUUCUCGCUUGCGGCACCUCUUCUUUUUCUCUCUUACGGCAUUCCGUUGUUGUUUCUGAUAUCUCCAUCGUCUUCCUCCUCUCCUUUUUCUCUCUUGCGACAACCCAGGUGCGUGGUUUUUUUUAUGCUUAUCGUUUCAACUUUGUUUACUCUUUCAUUGAUUAUCUUCUUCUGGUUCAACUGAUGAAAAUUUGCUUUCUUUGUGUUGUGUUUUAGUGCAGUUUUGUUCCUUUCUUGGGGUAACGUAGUAACACCUUCUCCAUUUGC
rnacentral:lncRNA from 1 species